rnacentral:rRNA from 1 species
GACGAACGCUGGCGGCGUGCUUAACACAUGCAAGUCGAGCGGUAAGGCCCUUUCGGGGGUACACGAGCGGCGAACGGGUGAGUAACACGUGGGUGACCUGCCUUUAGCUCUGGGAUAAGCCUGGGGAAACCGGGUCUAAUACCGGAUAUGACUCCGCGGCGCAUGUUGUGGGGUGGAAAGCCUUGUGCGGCUGGAGAUGGGCCCGCGGCCUAUCAGCUUGUUGGUGGGGUGAUGGCCUACCAAGGCGACGGAUCAGUAGCUGGUCUGAGAGGAUGAUCAGCCACACU